UACGAGGGGGGCGAGCGUUGUUCGGAAUUAUUGGGCGUAAAGAGCGUGUAGGCGGCCAGGUAGGUCAGCUGUGAAAACUCGAGGCUCAACCUCGAGACGCCGGUUGAAACCAUCUGGCUAGAGUCCGGAAGAGGAGAGUGGAAUUCCUGGUGUAGUGGUGAAAUGCGCAGAUAUCAGGAAGAACACCCGUGGCGAAGGCGGCUCUCUAGUACGGUACUGACGCUGAGACGCGAAAGCGUGGGGAGCGAACAGG
rnacentral:rRNA from 1 species